rnacentral:tRNA from 2 species
UGCCGGGUCGUCUAAUGGUAGGACAGCAGACUCUGGAUCUGCGUGUGAGGGUUCGAGUCCUUCCCCGGCAG